CAUCAUGUUUGCUCUCCCACUGAAGCUUUUGCUUUGCUUCACUUCAAACAAUCUUUUCAAAUCUCUAACCAACCUAGCUGUUGGGUUGAGAUUAAUCUGCCAGAUAUGACCUUUGUUGAUAUCCCAAAAACAAAGUCUUGGAAUGAGAGUAGGGAUUGCUGCAGUUGGGACGGGGUAACUUGUGACAUGUUAACCGGUCAUGUUAUCGGAUUGGACCUUAGUUGCAGUCUGCUUAAUGGAACUAUUCAUCCCAAUAGCAGCCUCUUCCAACUCCAUCAUCUCCAGACACUAAACCUUGCUCGCAAUGACUUCUAUUCUUCUUCAAUCCCACAUAACAUUGGCCGAUUGACGAAUUUGAGGCAUCUCAACCUUUCUCAAUCUUUCUUUGUAGGGGAAAUUCCAACAGAAAUAUCAUACCUUUCCAAUUUGGUUUCACUUGAACUUAAUUGUUAUGAAUGUGAACUUGAUGAGAGAACAUUUGAAACAAUUCUUCAAAACUUCACAAAUCUGGAGGUAGUUUCUCUCUGUGGUGUCAACAUCUCAUCUUCAAUACCUGUGAAUAUUUCUUCUUUCUCCUUAAGGUACGUGGAUCUUAGACAUACUAAUCUGCGAGGUUUUAUCACAGAGAGCUUUUUCCUUCUGCCAGGAUUGGAAAGGCUCUAUUUGAGUGACAAUGAUCUUCUCAAAGGAGUUUUACCAAAGAUCCACCCGAGCAACACUCUGUUGGAGCUGGAUAUUUCAUUCACAGGAAUCUCCGGUGAGCUGCCUGAUUCAAUUGGCACCUUGAGUUCCUUGAAUAUCUUGAAUUUUCUUAAUAAUCAUUUCACCGGCUAUAUUCCUUCCACAAUCUCUAAAUUGAAGCACCUCACAUCCCUAGAUCUCUCGUCCAACUCCUUUUCAGGUGAAAUUCCCGAUAUUUUUUCUAACCUCCAAGAGCUACGUUUUUUAUAUCUUCAUAACAACAGCUUCAUCGGUUCGUUUCCUUCUACAAUUGUAAGCUUGACACAUCUUCAAGACUUAGACUUGUCGAGUAAUUCCCUAUCUGGCCCACUGCCUAAUAAUGUGAGCAUGCCUCAAGAGCUAACCAAACUGGAUCUGUCGUACAACUCACUGAAUGGUACCAUACCAUCUUCGGUGUUUAGCCUCCCUUUGCUAUCUUCAUUGUCUCUCCAACAUAAUCAAUUUAGUGGACUAGCCGAUGAGUUCAAAACAAACUCAACAUUAGAUUACCUAGAUUUAAGCCAUAAUCAACUCAGUGGUUCAUUUCCUCAAUCACUUGCGAGUCUCACAAACCUUUCUACCCUCACCCUUUCAUCAAAUAACAUCACCUUCGAUGAGGGAAUACACAUCACUUUUCCUAGCCUACAAGAUUUGCAUUUAUCGUCUUGUGAACUGAAGGAUUUUCCACACUUCUUGAGAAAUGUAAAGACACUUACGGUCUUGGAUAUUUCUAACAAUAAGAUUCGUGGCCAAAUCCCAAACUGGUUUAGUAGCAUAAGGUGGGACUACUUGUACUACCUAAAUCUUUCGCAUAAUUCUUUAACAGGCCACCUACAACAAUUUCAUUUCCAUAAUCUAAGGUAUCUUGAUCUUAAAUUUAACUCCCUUCAGGGUCCACUCUCUUCAUCCAUUUGUAACAUGAGCGAUCUUAAAUUUCUAGAUUUAUCACUCAACAACUUCAGUAACUUGAUUCCAAGUUGCUUGGGAAAUCUUCAAUUUCUAGAUUUAUCACGCAACGACUUCAGUAACUCGAUUCCAAGUUGCUUGGGAAGCAUGUCUAGUCUAACAGUGUUGGACUUAAGAAGGAACAAUUUCACAGGGAGUCUUCCCCCAUUAUGUGCAUAGAGCACUUCAUUGAGUACCAUUGUCUUGAAUGACAAUCACUUUGAAGGAAUUCUCCCUAUGUCGUUGCUCAACUGUAGUGGUUUAGAAGUUCUUGAUAUGGGGAAUAACGCUAUAAAUGACACAUUUCCUGCUUGGAUAGGAACACUUGAACAACUGCAGGUCUUAAUAUUAAAGUCUAAUAUGUUCCAUGGACCAAUUAGUACUUGUCAGACUACGUUUUGCUUUCCGAAGUUGCGAAUUUUUGAUCUUUCGCGUAACAAAUUCAGUGGCUCACUCCCUGCAAAAGUUUUUGGAAACUUCAAGGCAAUGAUUAAAUUAGAUGGUGAAGACACAGGACAGAUCAAGUACAUGAAAGCAUUUGACACAUCGUAUGAGGAUUCUGUGAGUUUGGUGAUCAAAGGCCAGGAAAUUGCGCUAGAAAGAAUCAGCACAAUUAUGACAACCAUAGACCUCUCGAGCAACUAUUUUGAAGGUGUCAUUCCGAAAACACUAAAGGAUCUCAGCUCACUUUGGCUGCUCAAUUUAUCCCAUAACAAUCUCAUAGGUCAUAUUCCAAUGGAAUUGGGGCAAUUGAAUAUGCUUGAAGCGUUAGAUCUCUCUUGGAACCGGCUCACUGGAAAGAUUCCGCAGGAAUUGACAAGGCUAACAUUUCUGGAAAAGUUAAACGUUUCUCAGAAUGUUCUCUUCGGACCAAUUCCUCUUGGUCCACAAUUCAACACAUUUGAAAAUGACUCGUAUGGCGGUAACCUUGAUCUAUGUGGUCCUCCUUUAUCAAAGCAAUGUAGAACGAGUGAUCCAUCCCAUGCUCCUCAACCAUUGGAGUCUGAAGACGAGUCAUAUUUUUUUAGUGGAUUUACGUGGGAAUCAGUAGUCAUAGGUUACAGCUGUGGACUAGUUGUUGGAACUGUUGUGUGGAGCCUCAUGUUUAAAUAUCGUAAGCCAAAAUGGUUUGUGGAAUUUUUUGAAGGCAUUUAUCCCAAGAAAAUGAGAAGGUCAAUGAAGAGAGCUCAGAGGCGACGGACUUAAUGGAAGAUUGCAGGAGUGGACUUUUCUGUUUUUUUAAUUUUCUUUUUUUUGUUUGUAUAUGCUUGAUAGCAAUAUAAUUGCAUGUAUUAUUUUGUGAAUUAAAAUUAGUGUUCUUAAUCUUUGCUUUCAAACUAAAAAAUUAAACUCAAAAUAAAAACAAGAGGACAUAAAACAUAACUUUCCUUUUUACUAAAAUAAUUUAUUCAAUUACAUUCUUGAGUUUAAUUAAUCAACUUCAACAUGUUUGGUAAUAUCAUCUCAAAUUAAUAAUACUUAAAAAUGAUGGAUUUAAGAUCAUUCAAAUCCUCUUAUAAUUUGAUUAUUGUAUAAUGGUGAUCUUGAUGCCUUUUCACUCAAUUGAAAGAAUGAGCCAAAGCUGUCAUGAUAUGAGCUUGGUCUGAAAUAAUUUGUGUAGUUGAAGGAUUUUGUCCCAAAACAAUACAAUAACCAUCAUCAUAAUUCUCCAUUCCAUGUGCCAUUAGUUGCCAUACUAAACUUCCUGCCAUUGUUCCACCUUCUUUUGCCAAAUUAUACACAUUUCUAUAUACACUACUCAAAUAAAUCUCUUGAUCCUUGACCUCUACUAGACUUUCCAAAUUCAGCAAGUACUAAAGGUUUCUUUAAUAUAUUUCUUGCAUCUUCCCAAUGACUUGUUAUCCACUUUUCCAUCCACACCAAUUGUGCUUCAUCACUUUGUCCAGAUACCCUAUAACGAUCGAUAUAAAGAAAUAUUUAGACCUAUAUAAUGAAAACAUAUGAAAUUGUAUGUAGAGAAAAGAUGUAAAAACUACCAUUGGUUAGUGUAUGCAUGGAUAGUAGCAAAAUCAAUCUCAUUGAUAAGAUGGUUACUAAUGAAAUCUGUUCCAACUUGAUAACCAGGAUUAACUGAUUUCCUUUCAGGAAUUGAAUCACCAUAAAAUCCCUCCAUUCCAACCUCUAACAAGUGUUUGUUGUCUAAUGACUUCACAAAACUUGCCAUUUCUUGAACCCAAGCCUGUAACAUUAUUAGUCAAAAACGUCAAUUAUAGAUUUGAUAUUUCUAAAAUUCAAUUAAUUUGAACUUGAAUUGGGACUUACAUUAACAGUUUUUCCUGAAUAGUCAGCUUGAUCGCGAGGCUCAUUCAUUAAUUCCCAUGCCAUGAUUGUUGGAUCAUCUUUGUAAGCAACUUUAGUAAUACUAUUCAACCUUAACCACUUUCUGUAACAAUUUCAUAAUAUUAUUAAUAAAAAAGUUGUUUAUAUGUAUUAAAUAAUAAUUACCCCAUAUAUACCUCAAUGUGGUUCUUCAAGUAUUUUUUGAGCAUAGGAUGAGUAUAGAAUUCAUCAUCAUUACUAAUCUGAGCUCCUGCAUUUCGCGCCGACCAAACAUAUUGAGCUUUUCCUCCAAAGUCGUUCCAUUGAUUUACAAAGCUCAAGAUUAAACGAACACCAUAUUUCUUAGCUUCCGCGAUCACAAAAUCCAAGCCCUAAAUUUAGAAACAAUUAAAACAAGUACUAUCUAAUUAAGAGACUCACAUGCAUUACAACGCGAUAAUGUAAAAGUUAUCAAAACUAUAAUAACAAACCUUUACCUGAAAAACACGUUCAUCAUAAACACCAGGUGAUAUUUGUAAUGCUCUAUCACCUCCAUCACUAAAAGCCCAAGUACGACAAACAGAAAGACCAGCGGUAGAUGCAUCUUUAAUAACCUCAGUGACUUUGUAUCUCUCAGUAGGGUCAGCAGCAACAUGCAUCAACCAAUAUGAGUUGAAACCAUUGAAUAGAAAAGGGGAUCCAUUGAGUUCAAAAUGAGAAUCCUUAACUCCUAUAAACCCGGAAUUCACUUCACAAGCAAGAGCUAAGAACAAGAGAAAGAGCCCAGAAAUGCAACUUCUUUUCGUAUAAGACAUUUUGUAUAGUGAAUUAUAGAAGAUAUAUGUGUGAUAUGUUAGAUGUCACCUUUUAUAGUGUGUUGAAGAUAACGAAAUUUACUAAAAAUAGCAAAACUUGCAAAAACUAAAAAAAAUUCCUAGUGGAUAUAAUUGGAUAUUGAGAUUUGAUGAAAAAAUAGAAGAAAAAUAUGGAAACAUUAAUUGGUUAGUUUUUUUAAGGUUUGUUCACUACUAGAUUUGAUGAUGAAAUAAUAUUGAAACGUGUACUCAUGGUAUUUGAUAGUAAUAUACUUGAAUAUUUAAUGCAAAUACAUGAAGAACUCUUGCAUAAAUUUAAAUUUUUAUGUGGAUGUGUUAUGUGUCUAUUUUAAUCUUAUUUUAUUGGAAGAAAUUGAGCCAAAAUAAUAAUAAAAAUGUUUUUUAAAAAAGUUAAAGAGAAAUGAAGAGAGCAUAACAUUUUUUGGGUAAUCCUUAUUCAAAUUAAGAUCAUCUGACCACUUGUAAAAUGAAUAGAAAAAAGAUGACAGUUUUAAAUGGGCUUCUUAUAUCUAAAAAUUAAGAAGUCUCCUAAAAAAUCAUGAAACUAAACUAAAAUAAAACUGUAGUGGCCUACAAUUUACAAAAACUCAAGCUAUAUACUUGAAUAUAGAAUAUGGGGACUUUGGUUCCAUGGUUUGAGAAGUGGAGAAAAGGAAUUUAGGGGGUAAAAUAAUUUUUUCGGAAGAUAUAUUCUUAAAAAAUAAGUGAAUUCUUAUUUAUUUUUUGAUGUGAAUAAGUGGAUUUCUUACUUAUUUUCUGAUGUCAUAUUUGGGAUCUUUAAUGUUUAUUUCAUGCUCAUUUGACAAAUUUCAUAGUCCAUAUGAGAGCGGCAACCAUCGCUAGAGAUGAAUUUAAACUUAGAAUAGGUGAAUUUAAAAUAAGUGUGAUCUUAUCAUACGUAGAGGCAGAUGCAGUAGUUCAACUAUGGGUUCAAUCAAACCCAAUAUUUUUGUCACAUGACAUAUAUGUAGAAGUAAAAAAAAACAAAAAUAAAAAGAUAUUCUAUAUCCAUAAUUAAAAAGUACAAUUAAUUCAGUUUAAAUUCUAAAUUCGACUGUAAAGUUCUAAGUUGAAAUCAAUAGGUUCACUUCAACUCAGAACUCGCCCUGAAUCCGCCUCUGGAAGUUACUACCUAUUCCACGGCUAUAGAGGAAAAGUUGAAAAGAUCGUCCCCAAAAUGCUAUUAUAUAUCAAUAUAAAGUAAGAUUUGACUUAUACAGUGUAAUUUUCCGACAAAGAGUAUUCAGCCGACCACCCAGGAACCCCCGUAGCUCCGCCCAUGGUGCGUGGAAGUAACCAUCUAUUCCAGGGGAUUGGAGGAAAAGUCGAAAACAUCGUCCCCGAAGCCUGGAUCAGUAAUAGUGAAAUCACACUGCUGCUGCUGUUGCUGCAAAUUAUCAUCAGUGCAAAUACUGUAAUUCCCAAAUGGACUGGAUUGAAGUACAUUUUUCCAUAUAUCACUAUUUUCUUGUUGUAUACUACAAGUAUAUUUUGGUGUCGAUUCAUAAAAAUCGCUCCCAUCUAACAUCUUUAUUUGGAAAGUCUCGUGCACUAAGCUCUCGUUAUGCACAAAGUCCUGGGAAGGGUCAUACCACAAGGGUUUAUUGUACGCGGCCUUAGCCUGCAUACUUAUUUCUCUGUCUAAAACAGAGGUACUCUGUUCCAUGGCUGAAGGUACCCUGUUUUUGUUCCGACAUUGCCUGAUGCACCGUUUAUUGUUUUGGAUUUGAGAAGGAUUUUUCGCGAAUGAAGUAGUACUUGACGAUGCUGAGUUAGUCUCGUCUAUGUUAUUAUCAGUCGGGGCCAGGUCCCCGAGGAACAGAUGUGGGAAAUUAAGACGCGCAUCUGUUCCUCUGAGCCUAAAGGCCUCGACAUCAUAAGCAAAAGCAGCUUCUUCAGCACUUUCAAACGUGCCUAACCAAAGUCUAGUUCUUUCACGAGGAAGGCGAAUCUCUGCUACCCAUUUCCCCCAGUGGCGUUGUCUCACUCCCCUGUACCGUUUAGGUGCAGGGGAGGAGACAGUGCCAUAAACAUUCAUCAUCGUAGUCGUCCUCGUCCCACUGUUAGUGAUUCGACACUGAUUAAAGCAACUUUGAGGUGCAAAAGAAAUCAUAGUUUGGUUUUGAGUAAGUGAUUGCCAAUUAAUGUGACAAUUACUUGAUGGAGGAUCAUCUAGAGCAAAAGGAAAAGGAAACUGUGAUUCGUAGCCAUGUGCUCUAAUCCUCUGAGCUACAGGCUCCACCCCGUCUCCACUUGAUCUAAGGUUAUUAUGUUGUGAUGAUGGGCUAAUUUUGAGCUUUUUCAAAGGUCUAUACAUUGACAUAAUGGAUUGAACAUUAUCAAUCGAUUCGAUAUUUUCCAUUUUUUGUGUGCUCGUACGAGGUGAUUUUCUUGAAGUAUGUAUGAAUGAAAAUUUGAAAAAACAUCAACAUGAGGAGGGAAGAAAAGGGCAUUGAAGCAAAAUAUGAUAGAAAUAUGAUGACGAGUGAACUUAGGUUUUAUUUGGUAAAGAUGACAAGAAAUGAAGAAAAUAUGGAUGUUGACAUUUUAUUGAAGCCUUCUUUAUCAACUACUUCCUCCGCUACUUGGCGUGAAGUUUAAGAAAGUAAAAAAAAUUUCGAAUCUUAUAUUAUUAAUAAAGUAAAGAUACGUAUAAUGUAAAUAUUUUUUAAUCGUGUCCUUUAAACAUAUUAUAUGAAAUGUUAAAAUUAAAGAGUUGUUAAAUUAAUAACGACAUAAAAGUAAGAUAAAUAAGUUGAAAGAGAAUAGUAAAUUAAACAAUAUAUUCUUUUCACAUAUGUACACCAAAGAGACAGAGAAAAAAGUCAUUUGUGAUUGCAUGUUUUCAUUAACCUAGAUAGGCAUGACUCUUGCAAUUUAGUAGAAGCCAACCCAGUAUUGCUUGUAGGUUAAGAGAUAGAUUUGUUUUACCUCACUACUUGCUUUUGUGAUUAGUAAUGAAUUAUUAUUUUUUAUUUCAAAGGUCAAAUACAUUAAUCUAGAAGUUUUAUUUCAAGAAUAAAAAUAAAAAAGGAUAUUUACGGCCCUAAACACUUCGCCAUACGAAUUUACAAAAUAUAAGCAAAAAAAAAUGCUUAGAUAAUAUAUACUCCCUCCGUCCCAUUUUAUGUGUGAUAGUUUAACUCGACAGGGAGUUUAAGAAAGAAAGGAAGACUUUUAAAACUUGUGGUCCAAAAUGAAUGAUAGAAAUUUGUGUGGCUGUAAAUCAUUUCAUUAAGGGUAAAAUAGACAUUUCAUAGUUAAAUUGUUACUUAAUAUGGAAGUGUGUCAUUUUUUUUGGAACUGACUAAAAAGGAAAGUAAGUCACAUAAAUUAGAACAUAGGGAGUACUAUUUUAUAGGGAAAAAAGGACAAAUAUACCUUCAAACUAUCGUAAAUGGUGUGCAAAUUCCCUCCGUCAUAUUUUUGGAACAUUGGUGCCACUGUCUUCCAAAAACUAGAGCAUAUUUGUCCUUCACUCUAACGGAAGACUAAAUAAGGACACGUGACGCAAUCUUAUCUGUCAAUCCGAUAUUUAAUAAAUGUCGGGUCGGUGGAUAAGAUUAUAACAUGUGUAUGUUUGUUAGUAUAAAGGGUAUAUAUGCUCUAGUUUUUGGACGGCAGGGGCACCAAUGCCCCAAAAGUAUGACGAAGGGUAUCUGCAUACCAUUUACGAUAGUUUGGAGUAUAUGUAUCAUUUUUCCCUAUUUUAUACUAAAUAUAUAUAUAUAAAUUAGUAAGAAGUCAAAAGUCAAAAGCACUAAAAUGGUGAAGUCAGACAAGAACAAGCGUGCUUUUUAUAGCUUUGUUGCUUCUUGAUUGGGUUUCUCCACCAAGAAGAGUGUGUUUAGUAGGGACGAAACAUGUUUUUUAUUUUAAAAAAUCAUGGUUAGUUGAUCGAAAAUUUAAAAAUUAUAUUUUUUUUUAUAAUUAAGAAAUCAAAUUUCUUAAGAAUAAAAAAAUAAAUAGGAAAAUGCAUAAAUACCCCGCCCAAAAUCCCUGAGACACACCUAACCUUUAGUAAGAUCCUAUUACCCCCGAACUUAUUUUUUAAUUAAUUUUCUACCCCUUUUCGGCUACGUGGCACUAUCCUUAAAAAAAUUAUCAACACGCGUUAUUUUAAAAGGGUUAAUUUUGUAACACAUAUCAUUUUAAUAUUACCAAAAAAGUAUUAUAAAUAAUAAUAAUUAAUAACUUAAAAUAUCUUAAAGACAUUUUAAAAGGGUUAAUUUUGUAAUUUUAUCCAUAUCACAUAAAUUAGGACAAAGUGACCAGUAAUGUACAUUAUUUCAAAGUUACAUAAAAAUAUUAUAAAUCACAAUAAUUAAUAACUUCAAACAUUUUUAAAAAAAAUAUGAAAAUUUGGAUGACUCUCCAAAUUUCAUUUGUGUCACAUAAAUUGAGACAACAAAAAUAACAUAUAUUGGGUCCAUUUUAAUUUAUUUGUCUUAUUUUUUUUAUAUUUAAAAAUUGCGUAAAAAUACUAUAAAUCAUGAUAAUUGACAACAUAAAAUAUUUCAAAAAUGUUGUAUGUGGGUAGUUUUAUUAUGCCUUAAAUAGCAUCAAAGAAAGUACAUGUUUGUGAUAAAAAAAACUUAUUCCUUUAUCCACGCAAAGAAUCGCUUCAAAAACUCGGUUAUUAGCCCCAAAAUAUACCAUUUAUAUUAUUGGGCCCGUGCAUAGCACGGGCAACAUUAUCUAGUAUAUAUAUAUAAAUUAGUAAGAAGUCAAAAGUCAAAAGCACUAAAAUGGUGAAGUCAGACAAGAACAAGCGUGCUUUUUAUAGCUUUGUUGCUUCUUGAUUGGGUUUCUCCACCAAGAAAAGUGUGUUUAGUAGGGACGACACAUGUUUUUUAUUUUAAAAAAUCAUGGUUAGUUGAUCAAAAUUUAAAAAUUAUAUUUUUUUAUAAUUAAGAAAUCAAAUUUCUUAAGAAUAAAAAAAUAAAUAGGAAAAUGCAUAAGUACCCCGCCCAAAAUCUCUAAGACACACCUAACCUUUAGUAAGAUCCUAUUACCCCCGAACUUAUUUUUUAAUUAAUUUUCUACCCCUUUUCGGCUACGUGGCACUGUCCUUGAAAAAAUUAUCAACACGCGUUGGACCCACAAGAUAGUGCCACGUAGACUGAAAAGGGGUAGAAAAUUAUAUAUAAAAUAAGUUCGGGGGGUAAUAGGACCUUAGUAAAGGUUAGGUGUGUCUCGGGGAUUUUGGGCAUAGGCUGGGGGGUACUUAUGCAUUUUCCCAAAAUAAAUAAGUGUUACACGUGACAUUUUAAGCUCAUUAUAUCUUCUGUAUGAUCGCACCCCCAACGCCCUCCACGCUUCACCCCUGCUCCUGAUCCCAUCCCACCUAUCUAUAGUGCUUUUCAAGAUUAUAUAUAUGUAAUUAACGAUAGAUAAAUUUUGUAGCUAAACAAAUGUAUCGAAGCGUGCAGAAUAGUAAUGCAGUUUUUCUUUCCAAAUGACGCCAGAGUUUUAACCCUUCAAGUGAGUACUGUGUCAAUUGUCAAUUUACAUUAUAAAUUAUUAUAUAGAUUAAUGUGAAUUUACAUAUUGACAAAAUCCAUUCGAAUAACGUCUACAUUACUAUAAGCAACGCCAUUGGUCAAGAAUUAAUCACGCUUUCUAUUUUAAUUUAUUUAUUUUAUAUUAUUUAUUUACUUUUUCAAAAAGAAUAUCUAAUUUCUUGAAAGUGAAUCAUUCUGUGGACUUGGGGGUGUUCAUAGAACAGAAUGUCUCACCCAAGGAGUAAAAGAUUUAGAUGGAGUCUCACUUUUUUAGAAUGAUUUGAUCCAUCAAAUCUUGUCAUAAAUCCUAUGGUAGCAAUUCUUUCCAGUAAAAUAAAGGUACUCUUUCCCAUAUUUGAUGACGUGAAGUAGGUUACAACUGCUAUUAGAGUCUGUCUGAGUGCAUCGACUCUCUAAAAAAAAAGGAUUUCCGAUCCUUGUAGGUUUUUUUAUAGAGACAGAGUAGGAGGCAUACUACUAGUUCAUGUGGAUAAUAAGAUGUUACUACUCUCCUUCUUGCUUAAAUUUGCCUAUUCAAAACUGUAUAGAAUAGCAGAAGAAAAGUAUUAUCCGGAAACCUUCUGCUAGCCUAAGAUCGUUAACUAAGACCAGAAGAUUCAACCAAAGAAGAGGAAGCUAGAAAGGAGAACUUGUUUAUGGUGAAGAAUCUUGAAUUGUCUUUAGUUUUGGUUGGUUACAAAUAUUCAAUAGCAUCCCCUAUUUAUAUUUAUCUAUAGAUGGUUCUAGAUACUACAAAAUCUAGACUAUUCCAUGAUUCACUACAAAUAUCUAAUUCCUCAAGAGCAUCUAAUAUCUAGAUAUUUCUUUAAGAUAAUUAUCCUAGAUACUAUUCUAGAAACAUUACUAGAACAACCUAUCAUAUUCCAAAAAAUCAACUUUAACUUUUUCACAAAAACAAUUUGCGCGAAGGACUCUCUUUAACAAAAAGACAUCACAAUUAGAUACAUAUUGUAAACUUAAUGGUUUUAUGUCUUCAAAAAUACUAUCUUAUAAACACCAAUACCAAAAAAAAAAAACAAAGAAGGAUCAAACACCCUUUGAACACCUAAACAUUCUCCAAAAAAAAAAAAAACAAGAGUACCAAAAUAUGAAGUCAAGUACAACUAAAAACUGGAAAAAAUUGUAUACAUAUAGAACUUCAUGAUUGAUCACACUCAUUUGUAGGCUGCCAUUCCCACACCAGCUUCUCCACCAUAUGGUCCAGCUCCAUCCUUAGCGUUGGAGUAACUGAUAAAGUAAAACUUAUUGAUUAUGCUAGUGAAGAAAAUAAACGCGGCUCCAGCAGCAAAAACGCCUUUUCUCACAGUCUCACAAGAUACAGGUCGAUCAUUAAACAAGAGCGAUGAUCUAUACUUUGUAUGGUACGCGUUCCUAACUGAACCAGCCAACAAACACACCUCCGCGAUGAAAAAUGUAACCCUGAAACAUAGGUUAAUAAUUAUUAUCACAUUAUAUCGAGUCUGAAAAAAUAUAUUGUGGUGAGUCAUAUACCAACACAUGAUGAAUAACAGAACAGCACAACCCCUUGAACCACCGGGGCUCAAAGGCUUUCCAAAACAGAAGCAACGACUCGCCACCAUUAUAAGGAUUUGUCCAGCCAUGAGAAAUAAGAAGGCGCCAACGCCAAAUCCAGUUGAAAUAUCGGAGUCAUAGACACAAUAAGUAUACACUUGUUCAUUAUCUGUUUGAAUUGUGGCCUAUCAAUCAAUGAAAUGACGAGUUGUUAGAUCAAAAUGAAGUACAUGUACUAGUAAAAUUUGAAUAGUAAACGAAAAGGGUGUGAAACGAUCACAAUUAAAGAAAUAUAACUUUCGAGAUUACAAUAUUGAUCAUGGAGGUUGCUAUUCAAAUAAAUGCUAAGAGUAGGCAUAAUAAUAGAUAUUUUUGUAGUUAUAAACGGGGGCGGAGCUAUAGUACUGUCUACGGCUUGGACUAAGUUAAUGAAAUUUUGCUUUGAUCAUAUAUUAAAAUGGGAAAAGGGAUAAAUAUACCUCGAACUAUUGUAAAUGGUAUGCAAAUACCCUCCGUCAUACUUUUAGGACAUUGGUGCCCCUGACGUUCAAAAACUAGAGUAUAUAUGCCUUUCACUGUAACGGAAGACUAAAUAGGGACAUGUGGUGCAAUCUUAUCCGUCAAUCUAAUAUUUAAUAAAAUGUCGAGUCGGUGGAUAAGAUUAUGACACGUGUAUGCCCAUUAGUAUAAAGGGGUAUAUAUGCUCUAGUUUUUGGACGGUAGGGGUACCAAUGUCCUAAAAAUAGGACAGAGGGUAUCUGCAUACCAUUUACGAUAAUUUGGAUAUAUUUGUCUCUUUUCCCUAUUAAAAAUUUCAUCAAAUAUGUAAUUGUGAAUUCAGUAAUAACUAAAAUAAGCUAUGAAUUCAAUCACUAGUUCCAAACUCAUAAAUUUCAAAUUCUGAUUCUACCUACGACAAAACAAAGCUCUCGAACAAGAUCAAAUUUUCAAGAAUUGAACAUAUCAAAGGCCAAAACCAGAUGUGGGAAAUUAAGACGUGCAUCUGUUCCUCUGAGCCUAGAGGCCUCGACAUCGUAAGCAAAAGCAGCUUCUUCAGUACUUCCAAACGUGCCUAACAAAAGUCUAGUUCUUUUACGAGGAAGGCGAAUCUCUGCUACCCAUUUUCCCCAAUGGCGUUGUGAGACAGUGCCAUAAACAUUCAUCAUUGUAGUCGUCCUCGUCCCAUUGUCAGUGGUUCGACACUGAUUAAAGCAACUUUGAGGUGCAAAAGAAAUCAUUAGUUUGAUUUUGAGUAAGUGAUUGCCAAUUAAUGUGACAAUUACUUGAUGGAGGAUCAUCUAGAGCAAAAGGAGAACGAAACCGUGGUUUGUAGCCACGUGCUCUAAUCGUCUGAGCUACAGGCUCCACCCCGUCUUCGCUUGAUCUAAGGCUAUAAUGUUGUGAUGAUGGGCUAAUUUUGAGCUUUUUCAAAGGUUUAUACAUUGACAUAAUGGAUUGAACAUUAUCAAGAGUACUUUUUUUCUUGAUUCAUUAAAUUGGGAAAUAUAUAAAAAUAAUUAUUUUUAAUAUACACGACAACUAAACGAGACGAAGUAUUUAGCAAUGAACAAGUGACCAAAUUUGUAGCUAAUUUGGGGUCAUCUUUAGUGUUCAUAUCAGUCCAUUUAAGCUUAUCUUAGUUUUUAAUAAUAUAAGUACUUGAAAUACUCUAUAUCUUCGUGUAUAAAUCUCUUAACAAAAAAUAUAAUUUUCUAAUUAGGCAGCAUAAUUCACUAAGCAUUUCGAGUUCACACAGAAUUUGACAAAAAAUGACUCACUCCAACUCCUAAGUAGUGCGAUCUAAGCCACCUAUACCCUAAUACAAGGAUAUUCAUAAUACAAUUUUAUCGUAUCACAAAUUAAACAGUAUCACAUAAAAUAUAACGAAAAAAGUACUAAAAUUUGUAAUAAUUAUUUUACCUUUGUGUGUGAUUGAGCAAGGAAGUGCAAUUUGGACGAACAAAAGCAAGAGCAGCAGCAUCUCCGAUCCAAAGGUAACAUAAGAGGUGUCAAAUGAACGAGUCGAGAUGAGUUUUUGAAGUGUUUGUUGAGGAAGUAAGCAUUUUUUUGAUGCAGGAGUAUUUAAUUCUUCAGGAGGAUGAGCAAAUCCCUUGUGAAAUAUAGCCAACAUUGUAUCUUUUUUUAGCUUCAAGAUGAAUAUCUAACAACAAUAUAAAAAAAUGGUUACUGAAGGAGGAUAUAUAUAUUAUUAUAAACUUUUUACAUUAAUGUUUUUAUUUUUAUAGUAUAGUAAUAAUAAUAAAGGAUGCUAAAGAUGAAAUAUGUCAAUUUUAUCUUCUAGUGAUAGAGUGUGACGUGACAAUGAUGAGGAUGGAUAAGGUUUCUCGUAUUCCCAUGAUGUCUUUAUCCAUUUAGAUUUUAUUAAUAAUUUUACUAUUAAAAAAUCCAAACUAUAUUAAAUUGAAAAAAUAAUUAAAUAUAAAAAUAUCUCUCUUUAUCACAAUUUGAUUCAAAACUAUCAGUAGGGGUGUUCACGGAUGGUUUAGAUCGGUUAUUGAUUAAAAUUAAAAUCAAAUCAAUUUAAUUGAUUUUUAAAUUAUUAAAACCAAACUAAAAAUCAAAAUCAAAUCAACUUAAUCGGUUUUAAAAUUAUCAAAAUCAAACCAAAUCAAAUAUAAUAUACAUUUAUCAGUUUGUUGGUUAUCGGUUUUGGUUUGGUUUGGUUCGGUUAUUCGGUUAUUAACCAUACACAAAAAUAAAAGAAACAAUUCAUUUAAAAUGUGAAAAAAGUGACAACAAUCCAUUCAAAAUGAAAAAUAGUUAGAAUGACUUAAAUUACUGAACUUUCGAUCACUAAAUUUACUAUCAGUAAAGCUUUAAAAUUCACUAUAUUGGCCUAGAAGGAAGAGACAAUAACAUUUUCAGUCCCACAAAGAAUUGACGUAGACACUCAUAUACAUGAAAUCAAUAAGAUAAAUAUUUCAUCUUGGGAAUUUUUGUUUUUAAUAAGUAAAUUAUAAAGAAAUUUUAAUGAAAAUAUGUAUAAGAUCUUUAAAAUUGUUUAUAAAAACAAUAAAUUAAGUAUAUAUAUUAAUAAAAUAUAUGUAUAUAAUUCAUCGGUUCGGUUCGGUUAUUUCUUCGAUUUUUUUGAAUAAAUCAUAUCCAAACCAAAUACUAUCGGUUUUCAAAAAUCUAAAACCAAACCAAACCAAACCCAAAUAAAAUCGAUUUUAUUUUAUCAAUUUGGUUCGGUUUUUUGGUUUGGAUCGGUUUUUAUCCAAACUGUGAACACCCCUAACUAUCAGUAUCGCUAAUAGUUUAUCCAAAAAUUCUCUUUUCUUAUUUAAUGGAUUAGUUUUUUUUAAAAAUAUUUAUAUAUAUUAUAUACUAUUAAACACAUUUUAUUUAUAAUAAAAUAAGUUAGAAAUAAAUUUUUCUUUAGUCAAAAUUAAAAUAACAUAACUAAAUGUACCUUUUUUUUAACUAAUAAUAUAUAUUAUACAUUACAUUAUAUUAUAUCAUAUAUUAUAUUAUAUUAUUAUACAUUAGUAUAAGAGGCUAGAACACACAUGUUGACGAUGAAAUGUGUGUUUCUUGGAAUUAAACUUCUUAUUAAAGGGCAUUCUUGUCAUUUAAUAUUAAUAGAAUUUUAAUAAUUUUCAUAUUUAGAAAUUAUGUAAUUAAUAUUAUUAAUUAUAAUAAUUAGUAAUUUUAAAAAAAAAUAUAAAAUGAAUAUCAGUCAACUUCCCAAAUUUUAUUAAUGUCACAUAAAUUGAGAUAAUAGAGUAAAAACAUUUUUAAUAAUUUAUAUAUUUACAAAUUUUAUUUAAAAACUAUAAAUUGCAAUAUAAAUGUCUCUAAAUUAAUUUUUCGAUGAUUAAUAUAUUGUAUAAUAGCUAUUAGUUGCUCAACUGUAGUGGUUUAGAAGUUCUUGAUAUGGGGAAUAACGCUAUAAAUGACACAUUUCCUGCUUGGACUCUGAAGAAGAUGAAGACGAGUCAUAUUUUUUAAGUGGAUUUACUUGGGAAUUAGUAGUCAUAGGCUACAGUUUUGGACUCGUUGUUGGAACUGUUGUGUGGAGCCUUAUGUUUAAAUAUCAUAAAUCAAAAUGGUUUGUGGAAUUUUUUGAAGGCAUUUUCCCCAAGAAAAUGAGAAGGUCAAAGAAGAGAAGGGAGGGACAGCGCAUUUAAUUGAAGAUUGGAAGUACUAAGUGUCUUUGUGAUGUAUUUUAGUUUGUUGUCUAACUGAACUUUUAUUUUUAUUUUUUCUUCUUAAUUUUCUGUUUGUUGUUUGUAUAUAUUUUGAUAGCAACUUAUAUGUGUUAUUUUAGUAGAAGGAACUACCUGUUAACCUGUGACUUAGUGAUAUGGAGGCGAUUCUUUCCCAAAAACAAUCUCUUGGAAUGAGAGUAGGGAUUGAUGCAGUUGGGAUGGAGUCGCUUGUGACAUGUUAACGGGUUUUGUUAUUGGUCUAGACCUUAGUUGUAGUUAUCUUUCAUGGAACUAUUCCAUCAACAAUCUCUAAAUUGAAGCAACUCACACUUUUAGAUCUUUUGGAGGAGAAUUUUUGGAUGCAUUCUCAAACUUCCAAGUGCUAGCUGAAUUGGGUCGUUCUAAUAACAGCUUUAUCGGUUCAUUUUCCCCGUCCAUUUUAAGCUUGAAAUGUCUACAAAGAUUAGACUUGUCGAGUAAUUCCCUAUCCGGUCCACUACCUAGCAAUUCCAAAGAAGCUAGCUGAACUGUAUCAUAUUUCUCCCUUUGUUUCCCUGUAGUUUUUGCAGAGAUAGUCGAUGACCUCGAAAUGAAUACACAUCUAGAGAAAAAUUAGAACAUAGGUGAGUAUUAAUUAUUUUCUCAAGUCUUCUCCGUUUUCUAAAAAGUCUUGUGAAACACUACAAAAUAUGAGUGACGAGUUGUUAGAAGUGACUAGUACUCAUCCAUGGACCACAAGUUGUGUAUUUAGUGAUGCCAAAGUUGUAUUAUUUUCUCUCAGUUUAUGCCAAAGUUGAGCAAAACAAAUAUUGUAUAAUUGGUACUAUCAACCAAGACUGAAAAACUUGGUCAGUCUUUUUGGAAAUAGACAAAUUAUGAGGGGGAAAUUAAGUACCCCAUUUUAUUUGUCUGGAUAUUUUUCUUUUCUUUCUUUAAUUUAAACCUCGCACUUCCAUAGACAAGUCACCAACAACAACAAUAGCAUACCCCGUGUAAUUCCUUAAGUCGGGGUUUAAGAAAAGUAGAGUGUACAGAGACCUUAUCUCUAUGAGGUAGAGAUAGAGAGGUUGCUUUCGAGAAUAAAAUACAAGUUGUAAUGUGAGCAACCAAUUAUGUCCGUCAUCAAAAAUAUCCAACAACAUCAGUUGUUUAGAAGCAAAUAUGGUAAUUGGUAACAGCUUAUAGGUAAAUCUGAAGUAUUUUAUAAGUGUUCACUUAUCUGAGAAUUUAGAUACUAAUCCCUUUGUUUCAGUAUGCUUGUAUGGUUUUGACUUGACAUGGAAUUUAAAAAAGUAAUUUUUUUUUUUUGUAUCUUGUGGUCUCAAAUUAAAAUAUGUAGAAUGUAACAUGAACCACUAAUUGGUUCAAUGACUUCAAAAUUCCACUGUAACAUUCUCACUUGACUUAGUCAAGCAAUAGUAUCUUUCAUUGGAAAUUUGUUACAAGUUCUGCACCAAAUUUUUCUACAGUGUGUGUUACGUAACAGGACCAAUUCACAUUGUUUUGCGUAACACACACGGCAAAUAUAGUGGAUGACCUUGAAAUGAAAACAACAUUUAGAGAAAACAAAUUUGGAAUAAUUGGUACUGGCCACCAAGAAUUAAAGACUCGAGUCUUUAUGGAAAUUGACUUAAAUUUGGGACAAAUUUUUUUGCAACCACAAAUUAGUUUGUGGUAGAUGAGGGGCAAGUACCCCAUUUUAUUUGUCUGGAUGUUUUACCUCACAGUCCCAUAGACAAGUCAACAACAACAAUAACAUAUUCAGUGUAAUCUCACAAGUGGGGUCUAGAGAAAAGUAGAGUGUGCGUGAGAGGUUGCUUUCAAUAGACCCUUGGCUAAAAAUAAAGCAUGGCCAAGCAUUUUGAAAAAGGGAAUACAAAAGUAAAAGUAAUAACAACAAUAAAAUAAUAUGAAAAGAAGAGUAGUACAACAUACAGAUGAAUGAAUAAUAUGACAAUAAAAUAAAGCGAUAUUCGAAGCACAAAAUACACAGGUGAUACUCGGGAAAAAAAAACUACGAUCGAAUAUAACACAUGAUAGACAAGUCAACAACAAUAAUUGCAUAUUCAAUAUAAUUUCACAAGUGGGGUCUAGAGAGAGUAGAAUUUGUGCAGAAAUUACAGGAGCGUAACUCAGAAACUAGUAUAUAUAUAUGGAUAAUGAUGAUUGGUUUGUAAAAACAUAACAUUCUAUUAUUUGCUGAAUACAAAAAAAAAAAAAAAAAGAGAAAAAAGAUGGGACUUGUCUUUUUCUUUUAUUCACUAGUCUGUUUUUUGUCGGUAAUUAGUGAAAGUUUUUCUUCUUCCUCUGUGAUGAUGCAUCAUGUUUGCUCUCCCACUGAAGCUUUUGCUUUGCUUCACUUCAAACAAUCCUUUCAAAUCUCUGACCAACCUAGCUGUUGGGAUGAGACUGAUCUGCAUUAUGAGAGAUAUUUUGAUAUCCCAAAAACAAAGUCUUGGAAUGAGAGUAGGGAUUGCUGCAGUUGGGACGGGGUAACUUGUGACAUGUUAACCGGUCAUGUUAUCGGAUUGGACCUUAGUUGCAGUCUGCUUUUGGGUACUAUUCAUCCCAAUAGCAGCCUCUUCCAACUCCAUCAUCUCCGGACACUAAACCUUGCUUNNNNNNNNNNNNNNNNNNNNNNNNNNNNNNNNNNNNNNNNNNNNNNNNNNNNNNNNNNNNNNNNNNNNNNNNNNNNNNNNNNNNNNNNNNNNNNNNNNNNNNNNNNNNNNNNNNNNNNNNNNNNNNNNNNNNNNNNNNNNNNNNNNNNNNNNNNNNNNNNNNNNNNNNNNNNNNNNNNNNNNNNNNNNUAUUAUUUUUAUAGUUAUUGCAUUUUAUUACUCAUUAGAGGGAUAUUUUCACAAAAAUUACACGUGUAACUCAUAAACUAGUAUAUAUAUAUAUGUGGAUAAUGAUGAUUGAUUUGUAAGAACGAACAUUCUGUUAUUUGUUGAAUACAAAUUUUUUUAAUUGGUGACUUGAUUGAAAUUUCAACUAGUAACUAAAAAUUUACCGUACUAGCGUGAAAGGAAUUAAUUUUUUAACAAUAAAAUAUGACCCUCAUUUAAUGUUUCUUGUCACAAUACUUUUAAUUAUUUUUUAUUUUAUAGUUAUUGCAUUUUAGUACUCAUUAGAGGCAUAUUUUCACAAAAGUUACACAAGUGUAACUCAUAAACUAGUAUAUAUAUGUGGAUAAUGAUGAUUGAUUUUUAAGAACAGAACAUUCUGUUAUUUGUUGAAUACAAAAAAAAGAUGGGAAUUCUGUUUUUCUUUUAUUCACUUGUCUGUUUUUGUUGGUAAUUAGUGAAAGCUUUUCUUCUUCCUCUGUGAUGAUGCAUCAUGUUUGCUCUCCCACUGAAGCUUUUGCUUUGCUUCACUUCAAACAAUCCUUUCAAAUCUCUGACCAACCUACAUGUUGGGAUGAUAUCCCAAAAACAAAGUCUUGGAAUGAGAGUAGGGAUUGCUGCAGUUGCUGCAGUUGCUGCAGUUGCUGCAGUUAACCGGUUAUGUUAUUGGAUUGGACCUUAGUUGCAGUAUGCUUACUGGAACUAUUCAUCCCAAUAGCAGCCUCUUCCAACUUCAUCAUCUCCGGACACUAAACCUUGCUCACAAUGCCUUCUUUUCUUCAAUCCCACACAACAUUGGCCGAUUGACGAAUUUGAGGCAUCUCAACCUUUCUCAUUCAUUCUUUGAAGGGGAAAUUCCAACAGAAAUCUCAUACCUUUCCAAUUUGGUUUCACUUGAACUUAAUUGUUAUGGAUGUGAACUUGAUGAGAGAACAUUUGAAACAAUUCUUCAAAACUUCACAAAUCUGGAGGUAGUUUCUCUCUUUGGUGUCAACAUCUCAUCUCCGAUACCUCUGAAUAUAUCUUCAUCCUCCUUAAAGUAUGUAGAUCUUGGAUUUACUAAUCUGCGAGGUGUUCUCACAGAGAGCUUUUUCCUUCUGCCAAAAUUGGAAAUGCUCUAUUUGAAUUACAAUGAUCUUCUUAAAGGAGGUUUACCAAAGAUCCACCCGAGCAACACUCUGUUGGAGUUGCAUAUUUCAUUCACAGGAAUCUCCGGUGAGCUGCCUGAUUCAAUUGGCACCUUCAGUUCCUUGAAUCGCUUGAACAUGUAUGGAUGCCAAUUAUCUGGCCGCGUUCCUGAUUCCAUUGGCAAUCUUACACAAAUUAGGUAUUUGGCUUUCAGUUAUAAUCAUUUCACCGGCCAUAUUCCUUCCACAAUAUCUAAAUUGAAGCACCUCAGCUAUCUAAAGCUUUCGUCCAACUCCUUUUCAGGUGAAAUUCCCGACAUUUUUUCUAACCUCCAAGAGCUACGUUCUUUAUAUCUUCAUAACAACAGUUUCAUUGGUUCGUUUCCUUCUACAAUUGUAAGCUUGACACAUCUUCAAUACUUAGACUUGUCAAGUAAUUCCCUAUCUGGCCCACUGCCUAAUAAUUUUAGCAUGCUUCAAAAGCUAACCCAACUGGAUUUGUCGUACAACGCACUGAAUGGGACCAUACCAUCUUCGGUGUUUAGCCUCCCUUUGCUACCUCAAUUAUGGCUCGAUAAUAAUCGAUUUAGUGGACUACCCACUGAGCUCAAAACAAUCCCAACAUUAGAAAGCCUAGAUUUAAGCCAUAAUCAACUCAGUGGUUCUUUUCCUCAAUCACUUGUGAAUCUCACAAGCCUUUCUACCCUCGACCUUUCAUCAAAUAACAUCACCAUCGAUGAGGGAAUACAAAUCACUUUUCCUAGCCUACAAGAUUUGUGGUUAUCAUCUUGUGAACUGAAGGAUAUUCCACACUUCUUGACAAAUGUAAAGAAACUUCAGGUCUUGGAUAUUUCUAACAAUAAGAUUCGUGGCCAAAUCCCAAACUGGUUUAGCGGCAUGAGGUGGGACAACUUGUCCUACCUAACCCUUUCGCAUAACUCUUUAACAGGCCACCUACAACAAUUUAAUUUCCAUAAUCUAAGGUAUCUUGAUCUUAAAUUUAACUCCCUUCAAGGUCCAAUACCUUCAUCCAUUUGUAACAUGAACGAUCUUCAAUUUCUAGAUUUAUCACGCAACGACUUCAGUAACUCGAUUCCAAGUUGCUUGGGAAGCAUGUCUAGUCUAACAGUGUUGGACUUAAGAAGGAACAAUUUCACUGGGAGUCUUCCAUCGUUAUGUGCGCAGAGCACUUCAUUGAGUACCAUUUACUUGAAUGGUAAUCAAUUUGAAGGAACUCUCCCUAUGUCGUUGCUCAACUGUAGUGAUUUAGAAGUUCUUGAUAUGGGGAAUAACGCUAUAAAUGACACAUUUCCAGCUUGGCUAGGAACACUUCAACAAAUGCAGGUCUUAAUAUUAAAGUCCAAUCUGUUCCAUGGACCAAUUAGUACUUGUCAGACUACAUUUUGCUUUCCCAAGUUGCGAAUUUUUGAUCUUUCGCGUAACAAAUUCAGUGGCUCACUCCCUGCAAAAGUUUUUGGAAACUUCAAGGCAAUGAUUAAAUUAGACGGUGAAGGUACAGGAGAGAUCAAGUACAUGGAACCAUCUGAGAUGUCAUCUGAUGAUUCUGUGAGUUUGGUGAUCAAAGGGCAGGAUAUUGAGCUAGAAAGAAUCAGCACAAUUAUGACAACCAUAGACCUCUCGUGUAACCAUUUUGAAGGUGUCAUUCCGAAAACACUAAAGGAUCUCAGCUCACUUUGGCUACUCAAUUUAUCCCAUAACAAUCUCAUAGGUCAUAUUCCAAUGGAAUUGGGGCAAUUGAAUAAGCUUGAAGCGUUAGAUCUCUCUUGGAACCGGCUCACUGGAAAGAUUCCGCAGGAAUUGACAAGGCUAACAUUUCUGGAAAAGUUAAACGUUUCUCAGAAUGUUCUCUUCGGACCAAUUCCUCUUGGUCCACAAUUCAACACAUUUGAAAAUGACUCGUAUGGCGGUAACCUUGAUCUAUGUGGUCCUCCUUUAUCAAAGCAAUGUGGAACGAGUGAUCCAUCCCAUGUUCCUCAACCAUUGGAGUCUGAAGACGAGUCAUAUUUUUUUAGUGGAUUUACGUGGGAAUCAGUAGUCAUAGGCUACAGUUGUGGACUAGUUGUUGGAACUGUUGUGUGGAGCCUCAUGUUUAAAUAUCGUAAGCCAAAAUGGUUUGUCGAAUUUUUUGAAGGCAUUUAUCCCAAGAAAAUGAGAAGGUCAAUGAAGAGAGCUCAGAGACGACGGACUUAAUGGAAGAUUGCAGGAGUGGACUUUUCUGUUUUUUUAAUUUUCUUUUUUUUGUUUGUAUAUGCUUGAUAGCAAUAUAAUUGCAUGUAUUAUUUUGUGAAUUAAAAUUAGUGUUCUUAAUCUUUGCUUUCAAACUAAAAAAUUAAACUCAAAAUAAAAACUAGAGGACAUAAAACAUAACUUUCCUUUUUACUAAAAUAAUUUAUUCAAUUACAUUCAUGAGUUUAAUUAAUCAACUUCAACAUGUUUGGUAAUAUCAUCUCAAAUUGAUAAUACUUAAAAAUGAUGGAUUUAAGAUCACUCAAAUCCACUUAUAAAUUGAUUAUUUUAUAAUAAUGAUCUUGAUGCCUUCACUCAAUUGAAAGAAUGAGCCAAAGCUGUCAUGACAUGAGCUUGGUCUGAAAGAAUUUGUGUAGUUGAAGGAUUUUGUCCCAAAACAAUACAAUAACCAUCAUCAUAAUUCUCCAUUCUAUGUGCCAUUAGUUGCCAUACUAAACUUCCUGCCAUUGUUCCACCUUCUUUUGCCAAAUUAUACACAUUUCUAUAUACACUACUCAUAAAUAUAUCUCUUGAUCCUUGACCUCUACUAGACUUUUCCAAAUUCAGCAAGCACUAAAGGUUUCUUUAAUAUAUUUCUUGCAUCUUCCCAAUGACUUGUUAUCCACUUUUCCAUCCACACCAAUUGUGCUUCAUCACUUUGUCCAGAUACCCUAUAACGAUCGAUAUAAAGAAAUAUUUAGACCUAUAUAAUGAAAACAUAUGAAAUUGUACGUAGAGAAAAGAUGUAAAAACUACCAUUGGUCAGUGUAUGCAUGGAUAGUAGCAAAAUCAAUCUCAUUGAUAAGAUGGUUACUUAUGAAAUCUGUUCCAACUUGAUAACCAGGAUUAACUGUCUUCCUUUCAGGAAUUGAGUCACCAUAAAAUCCCUCCAUUCCAACCUCUAACAAGUGUUUGUUGUCUAAUGACUUCACAAAACUUGCCAUUUCUUGAACCCAACCCUAUAACAAUAUUAGUCAAAAACGUCAAUCAUAGAUUUGAUAUUUCUAAAAUUCAAUUUAUUUGAACCUGAAUUGGGGCUUACAUUAACAGUUUUUCCUGAAUAGUCAGCUUGAUCGCGUGGUUCAUUCAUAAGUUCCCAUGCCAUAAUUGUUGGAUCAUCUUUGUAAGCAACUUUAGUAAUACUAUUCAACCUUGUAACCACUCUCUGUAACAAUUUCAUAAUAUUAUUAAUAAAAAAAGUUGUUUAUAUGUAUUAAAUAAUAAUUACCCCAUAUAUACCUCAAUAUGGUUCUUCAAGUAUUUUUUUGAGCAUAGGAUGAGUAUAGAAUUCAUCGUCAUUACUAAUCUGAGCUCCUGCAUUUCGUGCCCACCAAACAUAUUGAAUUUUUCCUCCAAAGUCGUUCCAUUUGAUUUUACAAAGCUCAAUAUUAAACGAACACCAUAUUUCUUAGCUUCCGUGAUCACAAAAUCCAAGCCCUAAAUUUAGAACAAGUAUAUCUAAUUAAGGGACUCACAUGCAUUACAACGCGAUAAUGUAAAAGUUAUCAAAACUAUAAUAACAAACGUCCUUUACCUGAAAAACACGUUCAUCAUAAACACCAGGUGAUAUUUGUAAUGCUCUAUCACCUCCAUCACUAAAAGCCCAAGUACGACAAAUAGAAAGACCAGUGGUAGAAGCAUCUUUAAGAACCUCCGUGACUUUGUAUCUUUCAAUAGGGUCAGCAGAAACAUGCAUCAACCAAUAUGAGUUGAAACCAUUGAAUAGAAAAGGGGAUCCAUUAAGUUCAAAAUGAGAACCUUUAACUCCUAUAAACCCCGAAUUCGCUUCACAAGCAAGAGCUAAGAACAAGAGAAAGAGCCCAGAAAUACAACUUCUUUUUGUAUAAGACAUUUUGUAUAAUGAAUUAUAGAAGAUAUAUGUGUGAUUUGUUAGAUGUCACCUUUUAUAGUGAGUUGAAGAUUAGGAAAUUUACUAAAAAUAGCAAAAACUUGCAAAACCUAAAAAACUUUCCUAGUGGAUAUAAUUGGAUAUUGAGAUUUGAUGAAAGAUAUGUUUUUAAAAAAACAGUGAGUUUCUUAUUUAUUUUUUGGCAUGAAUAAGUGAAUUUCUUACUUAUUUUCUGGUAACAUAUUUGGGAUCUUUGAUAGUUAGUUUAUGCUAAUUUGACAAAUUUCAUAGUCCAUAUGUCCCAUGUAUCAUUUUGGAUGAAGUCUUCAAAGACGAAUUUAAACUUAAGAAUAGGCAAAUUUAAAAUAAGUGUGAUCUUAUUAGACGUGGAGGCGGAUGCAAUAGUUUAACUAUGAGUUCAAUCAAACUUAAUAUUUUUGUCACAUAACAUAUAUGUAAUGUAGAAGUCACAAACUCUACCUUCUUCCACAAUGUUAUAAAAGAUAAGAAUAAGAGGCUCUCAAUCCAUAAGAUUAAGGACCAAGAUGGCAAUUGGGUGGAAGGUACCACUCAAGUUGCUACAGCUGCAGUCAAUUACUUCUCCAACCUUUUCAAAGCUGAAGAUAUUGAUGAGAAUAACGAUAUUUUUAAUGUGAUAGAUAGGGUGGUGACUCGAGAGGAUAACAUAUCCCUCACCUCCCCUCCUUCUAUCCAAGAACUUAAAGAUGUUGUGUUCUCUAUUGACCCUGAUAGUGCCCCGGGACCUGAUGGCCUAAGUGGGAAGUUCUAUCAAUCAGCCUGGCCUAUUAUUGCUUCAGAUGUCCAUGCUGCGAUUAAUUCCUUCUUUCAAGGUGCUACCCUUCCUAAAUUCUUUACUCAUACUUGUAUUGUUAUGCUUCCUAAGGUGAAUUUUCCUCAAGAUUUCUCUGACAUUAGACCUAUUAGUCUGUGUAAUACUUCUAGUAAAAUCUUGGCCAAAGUGAUUAAUUCUAGGUUUUCUGGGAUUCUCCCUAGAAUUAUUAGUCAAAAUCAGAGUGGCUUUGUUAAAGGGAGAGCUAUUACUGAGAAUAUUCUUCUUGCGCAGGAAAUUGUUAAUAAUAUUAACAAGCCUAAUGUAGGGGGUAAUGUGGUGAUUAAACUUGAUAUGUCCAAAGCUUAUGAUAGAGUUUCUUGGCCUUUCUUGUGUUUUUGUUUUAAGGCAUUUUGGCUUUGCUGAAUCUUGGAUAGAUCUCAUCUACAGGUUCAUUUCAAACAAUUGGUAUACUAUGCUUGUAAAUGGGAGUAGUCAUGGUUUCUUUAAUUCAGGAAGAGGUCUCAGACAGGGAGACCCCCUCUCACCUAGUCUAUUUGUUCUUUCGGCAGAGCUUCUCUCUAAAUUAUUAAAUGCCCUUCAUAGAAACCCUGCUUUUAGUUACUUUUCUAUGCACCUUCCAGGUCCCCAAAUUAACCAUCUUUGUUUUGCAGAUGAUACAAUUAUUUUUAGCAGUGGAAAGAAGGCUUCACUACAAAUCAUACUCAAAACUUUGGACAUCUUUGAAAGAACGUCGGGUCAACUCAUUAACAAAAACAAGUGUUCUUUCACUAUGGCUACUAAUACACCCUUAAAUACCAUAAGAAGGGUGGGAAGAAUCUUGCAUAUGAGAUAUGAACAUUUUCCGAUUAAAUACUUGGGUUUCCCAAUUUACACAGGAAGGAAGACACUUGACAUCUUUCCAGACAUAGUCAACAAAGUCAUCAACAAAAUAAAGGGUUGGCAUCUUAAAUUUCUUUCAUCGGGAGGAAGAGCAACCCUUAUUAGAAAUGUUUUGCUUGCUUUGAAUGUUCACACUCUUGCAGCUAUCCACCCCCCGAAGGGUAUUUUUGAUUUGAUUGAAACUUAUUUAACCAAAUUUUUUUGGUCCGGAAAUGAGGAGGGGGGUAAAUAUCAUUGGAUCUCUUGGGAUAACUUAAGCUACCCCUAUAGAGAAGGUGGUUCUAAUUUUAGGAAACUAGAGGAUAUCUACAAAGCUUUCACUGCUAAGCAAUGGUGGAAGUUCAGAACUUCUAAUUCCCUUUGGGUCAAUUUUCUCAAAGCAAAAUACUGUAUAAACGAUCACCCUACCACCAUUCAAUGGAAGCCUGGUCAAUCCCAUAGUUGGAAAGCCAUGCUAAAAAUUAGAAGUGAGGUCGAUAGCAAGAUAUGGUGGAGAGUAAGGGAAGGAAACGUUGACUUUUGGUUCGACAAUUGGACCAAGCAAGGGCCAUUAUGGAGCCUCAUGGAAGAUGUCAUAGUGGAUCAACAUAUCUCCAUCAGAGAAGUUUAUCGCCAAAGCCAAUGGGACUGGAAUGUUUUGCAUCCAUACCCUAGUGAGCAGAUCAAAGAUCUCAUUAGGAAGUACACUAUUUCUCUCAAUAACAAUACAAAAGACGUUCCUUUUUGGACUGAAACGGAGUCGGGGACCUUUUCCAUCUCCUCUGCCUGGAACUUACUCAGGCAAAAAAGGUUGUUUGCUCCUAUUGACGCCAAGUUGUGGCACAAAGACGUCCCCUACAAGAUGUCUUGUGUGGCAUGGAGAGCAAUCCACUGCAGGAUGCCUACUGAUGACAAAGUGGCAAAAAAAUUUAAAAUUAACUUUGUCUCUAAAUGUUUUUGUUGUAUUGGUGCAGGUAUGAAAACAGGGAUGGAGACCGCUGAACAUCUUUUCUGCUCAGGCCAUUUUGCACAGUUACUAUGGAGUUCUUUUUAAGGAAGGAUGGGUAUAUGUACCAGGAAUACCAGCCUUCGGGAUUUAAUUCAAAGAUGCUGGAAUUGUACUGCCAAAAAUCCUGUUGCUGCCUAUGUUGUAAAUAUUCUCCCUCCUAUUUUAAUGUGGGAACUAUGGAGAUCAAGGUGUACCUCUAGAUAUGAUGAAGAAAAGCCCUCUAUCAUUAGAUCUACGGCCCUCAUAUCUUUCAGCAUUUGUAUCGAAGAAAACUUUCACAAAUUUGAACAUACCUGAGAACUGGGAGAAUUUAUUGAAGCUCAUGGAACUUAGCAUAGUUGAUACUAGCUUUGUCCCUGUGAGGUGGUUGAAACCCCCGCUCUUAUUUGUGAAAAUGAACUCUGAUGGUUCAUGUGUUGGAAAUUCUACAGGAGGUGGUGGAAUAGUGAGAGAUUCCAUGGGCACAUGUUUAAUGGCAUUCAUCCUUCCACUUGGAAGAGGCACCAGCAACACUGCAGAAUCAGAUGCGUUCCUCUUUGGACUUGGAUGGUGUAUUAACAAUGGUCAUAAUCUCAUCAUUACCGAGACUGAUUCUCUACUACUUCGAAACUGUAUUAAUAACAGUUGGUCUACUCCAUGGAGGAUUAAGGAAUCAGUGGAGGAAAUUAGAAGUUUGAUUCAGAGACAUGAUGUAAUUAUUAACCAUUGUUAUAGGGAAGCAAAUCAUGUGGCUGAUAAAUUGGCUUCAAUGAGCCAUUUUGUUGAGGAAGUUAAAGUAUUUACUCAGCCUAGCACUAUUCCCAGGCAGAUUAGAGGCCUUCUGAACAUUGAUAAGUGGCAAUUUCCCUCCUUCAGAGUCAAACAAAGAAAACCGAGUAUGAUUUUCUUUGAGCCACCUUGAGGUGCUUCUAUGUGUUUGGCAUUGUUUGUGCCUCUUUUGCACGUGUAUAUUUAGCAAAUCUCAUUAGGAAGGCAAGGUAAAGUCCUCCUUCCUCUUUUGUAAUCCACAUUAUUGGUAAUGGCAAGGCAUCUAUUUAUAUUUUUUUUAAAAAAAUGUAAUGUAGAAGUCAAAAACACAAAAAUAAAAAGAGAUUAUAUAUUCAUAAUUAAAAAGUACAAUUAGUUCAGUUUAAAUUCUAAAUUCGACUCAAACUAUAUAUAUAUAUAUAUAUAGAGUUGUAAGUUGAAAACAAUAGGUUCACUUCUACUCAGAAGUCGCCUUGAAUCCACCUCUGGAAGUAAGCACCUAUUCCAUGGCUAUAGAGGAAAAGUUGAAAAGAUCGUCCCUAAUUGCUAUUAUAUACCAAUAUAAAGUAUGAUUUGACAUAUACAGUGUAAUUUUUCGACGAAAAGUGUUCAAAGAAACCACAGAACACCGUAGCUCUGCCCAUGAUCCCUGUAAGCAACCACCUAUCCAUUCGUUAACAUAUUAACCUAAAAAAAAUAUAAACUGAACCUUUUGUUUUUCCCUAAUUACUCCCUUAACCAUGCUCCCACACCCCUAACCCCCUCUCAGGUAGGGUUUUUUUGACAAACUUUGACAUUUCAUCAUAAAUCUAAAGCCUACUUAUGGGUUUCAUUAUUUCCUCUUGGUAUUUGUAACAUCCGGAAAUUUGAAAUAACUAUGAAGAAGCGUGAAAUUGGAAAUAGUCAUUUUUGGAAAGAAUUCACAAUCUGGAAAUUUGGCUAAGUAUGGAAAAAAGUGAGUUUUUGGUCAACUUCAAACAGUCAUAACUUCUAGAUCAAGAUGAUUUAGGUGUAUUUCCAGUUAUUUUUGGAAAGCUCUUGGAAUGAUCUUUCCAACGCCGCCGAUUUUGCUCGAUUCCGAGUUCGUAUGAGUGAGUUAUGCUCUUUGAAAGUUGGGCUGUUGGCACAGGGCAGUUUUAGUCCGAAUUUGUAAGGGUAUUUUGGUCUUUUCCCUAACCAUUUCUUUUGGUUAUAUUAAGGGUUUAGACUGAUUUUAAAUCUAGUUUUCCCUUUUAAAAGUGUAGGGUUAGGGCUUUGAGAGAGAAGAGGAGAAGGAGAAGAAUAAGCAAGGUUCGUAGAGAUCGUCGUGGUUUUCGUCGAGGGUGAUCCCUAUUAAGGUAUGUGAGAUCAUAGUGUUGGGUUGGUUCAUUUCCCCACACGCCAAACUCGUUUUAAUUCCGAGAAAAGAUUGGUUGUGUUUGUUUAAGUUUGUGGUUGUGUUGGUUGAAGUUGUGGUUGUGUUGUUGAAGUUCUUGUUGGUUUGGUGCAUAUUUCCGGUUGUGAUUUCGAGUUGAAUCUAUUGUAUAUUAAGGGGUUUUAUGAUUCUAAGUGUUUGGGGCUGGAACCUUUGAAGUUAAGAAGGUUUAGAGUUGGAAAAACAAAGGAGAAAAGUCGGAUUUUUUUCGGGCAAAAAGGGUGGGGCGUCGCACUAGCCAGCGCACCCCAACAGGGGUUCUAAAGUUUCCCCCUUGGGCGGCGCGCCAUGCAGAGCGCCCAGCAGGCCCCUCUGAAGUCUGAGGGCUGGCGCCCCGUGCCUCUCAAAGCACCAAGGACGCCAAUUCUCCUCAUUCCUUCCCCACUUUUUCAUGCAUGUUCCUUGGCAAAGUACCUAUGUUUUAUAGUUGUUUCCAACACUCUAAGGUACAUUUAAACGUCCCGAACUCAUCCAUAAACAUGAGAUCAUUACCCUUGAAUCCAUAAAUCAAUUCGAGGGAAGUUAGGAUCAAAGUCAAGUGAAGUUAGAGUCAAGCUUAGAAGUUAAGAAGUAAGUCAAAGCAAGUCUUUAAAGUUUUUUUCAAGCGUCUUUCUUGAACGUUUUAACUUCGUUUUAAGGCUCAAGUUUCAAGUUAAGUAAAGAGUAUAGAGUUUCAAGUUAAGUAAAGAGUAUAGAGUCGAGUUCAUUUCUCAAAAGUUAUUAGGGAACUAAGUAUUCCCAAAGAAGUUUAUAAAUGUUUUCACAUUUGAGCAAGAAAGGGAACAUCGAUUCCAAGAGAGAUUUUAAGUUAAGUUUUGAGUAAUUAUCUCAAACUAAAGAAAGAAGUUUGUUUUUAAAACAUAUGAACUAAAGUAUUUUUGGGAGUAGUCUUGAGCACCGAAUUGGGGACACGAGUUCAUAUUAACUCAACUCUCCAUAGGAACCAUGUAGCCAACAUGGGAUUUAACGUGUCAUACUUUUUAGAUGAUCACGAAAGUUAAGCUAGUGGAUCCACUAAGUAAAGUAGUUCUAUAUGACGGCAAAGUAUAGAACAGUCUGGCAGCGUGAUGGUAACAACGUUGUCUCACCACUUAGGCUCUUAGUGGUGGUUGUCGGUUAGAGAAACUCCCACAGUAGAAAUUGCAUGGUUCCUCGAGGGGUUCUGCUUAGUAUGGAUGGGGGUAUGGGACUUCAUUCAUGCAUUGCACAAGUAGACUUUGAAAGGGAGCAUGGUAUUUUUUUUUAUAUUAUAAAUAUGAUUUUGACAUCAUGUUUUAAAUAGUUUUACAAGCUUUAUAUAUAUUGCAUGUGUCUUAUUGCUUUGUAUUGAGUUCAGUUAUUCAUGAGUUGAACAGAGCCAAGGUAAGUGUUCCUUUGUACUCCUUUCAAGCUUAAGUUGUUGUUUAGCUUUCCAACUCGCAUACUCGUACAUUCAAUGUACUGAUGCCAGUUGGCCUGCAUCUUAUUAUGAUGCAGACGCAGGGAAUCAGGAUCAGCAUCCAGUACGCCGUUGAUCCAGCUGAGCACUCCAGAGUCAGUGGUGAGCCUCUUUGCAUUCCAGAGGACUUGGUUAUUUUGUUCUCUUAGUUUUGUUUUAUUAGGAUGUUGCGGGGUCUGUCCCAACUUCUAUCUCAGUGUUAUAGAGGCUUCAUAGACAGUCAGUUAGUAUUGAGUCUCUCAUCUAUGUAUAUAUAUAAAUAUUUUAUUUUGAGACUCAAGUUGCCUUUUGGCCAAGAUUUUAUCAGUGGGUUGUUUUGUGACCUUUCAUUGCAUGGAGUUAUUCUGUUGAGUUAGGUUUUCUGCUAAGUUAAGUAAGCCAGGCCAAGGGUUCGCUUGGGGCCAACAAUGGUCUUCGAGUGCCGAUCCCGCGCAGGGUGUAGGCUCGGGGCUUGACAAUAUUCAUAUAUAUAUAUACUAGUCCUUGGACACGUGCUUUGCACGUGUAUUCCAUACAAUUUUAAACUACACAAAUACACACAGUCAAAUAUGAACCUGUGUGCUCCAAGCAUAGUCCAUAUCCACACUUCAAAUAUGCAAAGGAUUCCACGGAUCAAUUGCUUCUAUCUGAAUUUGAGUUUUAUUACAUCAUAAGCUUUUCAGAAAUACAUAUUAUACUUAAAAAAGUGAAUAUGCUGUUAGCUUAGCAAUAAUACAAAAAGUGGUAAAUAUUUGUAGCUAAAUUAAUUGGAAUAGAUUUACCUGAAGUAGACUCUUCUUGGAGGAGAAAUCUAACCGAAAGAAGGCAAAUGGAAUAAUGGGACAAACACACCUUAUGAUGCACUUUAUAGAGUAUUUUAAAGAAUAUGAAAAGAUUGACCAGAAUAAAUAUCAUGGAGAAGAUAAAACUACACCUAUGUACAACCAGUAAAAAUCAAGAAAUUUAAUAUUAAUAUAAAUGAGGAUUGUAAAAAGACCUCAUGGAAGAUGAAAGAAAAAAAUUAAUUUAAUGAGUGAAAUAAUUUAGGGAACCUGACCAUAAUUACUUGUUGUUACACAAUGCCUUCCUCACCCUCACCAAACGUUUUUGUUCCUCUAAACAUGUAGUGAAGGAGAAGGUGAAAGAGAUAAAUAAAAUUAUGGCAGUAAACAUUUUCAGAAAGUAUUAAUAUAAUAUUUGGAUUCAUUGAAUUUGAGGGGCUAAUGAAUUUUGUUAUAUUUUCUUAUGUAAACAAAAGUUAUUUAAAUGAAGAUUUGCUUUUAUUUCAAGGAUAAAAUGGUAAACUAAUUUUUAAUUCAUUAUUAUUAUGGAUAUUAAUUAUUAUUUAUGAAUAAUAAAAAAAAUUGUUCCCACUUUUAAUAUAUAUAUAUAUACUAGUUUUGGACACGUGCGUCGCACGUGUAUUCCUAUCAGUUAAUACAUACUUUCAAAACAUAAAUAUUAUUAAAACAUGUGGUAUGAGAUUCAAAAUUGAAUUAUAAGAGAGAAAAAAAUACAAACUGAUAAUUAAUAUUUAUAUAUGUUAAAGCGAUAUCAUAGUUGAACUUGAAAUGAAUGUGCAAGACAACAAUUAUAGUUUAAAACUAAUUGUUGAAGUUAUAAUUUGACUUUGUUUCUUUCUGUAAAGUCCGUUCUGUGUAACAACAAGUAAAAUUAUCAAUUAAUGUAUAGUAACAUUAUAUUGAAUUUUUAAUCUCACUUAUAUUUAGUGUGAAUAAAAUCAUUUGACAUAAGCCUCCAAAUGGAUAUAAAGAGUGUAUUUUAUUUUAAAAUUAGAGGAGAGGUAGAAUGAAGAAUAAGAAAUGACAACAAAUUUAAAGAAAAAAAUCAAACUGAAAAACUGGUAUUGCUUGAGUGACAAAAGCAAGUGGAGGUUUUUUUUUUUGGCUUAUCAAACCAACAUAUACCUAUUCUUUCUUUUAUGACUUCCAGAAGAGAAAUUAUAGUAUUGCAAUAUUUUAUAUAUUUUUUAUUUUGCGAUCAUUGAAAGCAAUCUUCAGUGACACAAAGAUCUCCCCACAACAACCUUCAUUACGAUAGAAACGCUGGACAUAAAAAAUCAAACAAAAGGCAAAGCCUUAUUCCUGUUUACAGAAGAAAGAAAAAGUUGUACUAUAUUUUAUAUACAUACUAUUCUCAAAUAUAUCCAAAAUUAACUCAAACAAUAAAAAAAAGAAAUAUAUUUACAUAAAAACGAGAAAGAAAACAUCAUUUACAUCGCUAAACACCAUCCACGGCCUUCACCUCAGAAGUUAAUGUGUGAACUUCAAAUGAUUAGAAUUUCAUAUGUUGUUUUUUCUCAUAACCUACCUUCAUAAACAAUUAAAUGUAUAAUUAUAUGCAAUUAUAGUGUGUAACACAUAAAGUAUAAUAUAUACAAAUCCUAAAUAAUACAAUUUUAUAAAGCAAGAAUUUGGACAUUACUAAAUAUGAGAUUGUAAAAAUGCAUCAACAAGUUUCUCAAUUUAGUUGACGCAGAAGAAGUAAAAUAUAAUAUCAGCACUUCAACACUAAAAAAACAUAUGAGAACUAAAAAAAAAAAUAUAUAUAUAUAUAAAAAAGAAUUGUAUACCUAAUUUGUAGAUGUAGAAACUAUCCUGUCACUUGAAAAAUAUAACUUCAAAUUCAUUUAAAAAUGAAUUGAAGUAUCUUGAAGCACUAUAACUUUUGUUCCAAAAUGAUUUGAAAGUCCAAAAUAUCGAUGCUUUACAAAAAUGAUAAUUCUGUUAAGAAAUUACCACAGAGAAAACAACAAAAUAGGGAAGUUAUCAUCAUAUAUUAUAGCUGCUUGUAAUCUUGAUGCCACCAAAGCUGAGAAAGAAAAAAUGACAAACAUAAAUACAAUUAAAUGUGAUAUACAUAUAAAUCAUGACAUCUAAAAUUAAAAUAAUACGAAGCGAUCAAAUAAAAGUAAGGAUUUGACAAUUAGCAAUUGUAUAACUAACCUUUCAUCAUACGCUUGUUUGAUAUUAUUCAAUAUCUGUAUUUAUAAAUUUGAAAAAAUCAUCUUCAUUCAAUAUAGGCAAAUGAAGAGACAAGAGUUCUAAGAAAUUAAUUUAUGGAAAAGAGGGUUUUGAAAACUGAUACACAUCUUUUUAUCUUCCAUUUUCUUUAAUGUCUUUAAUUUCACAUUUAAUUGGAUAAUGUAUUUAAACAUUUUUUUGGACUUCUUAAAACAACGAUUUAGUUUGGAAAGGUCUUAAAACAAUGUUAAUGGUUGACUAUGAUAAAUAAUGUAAUGUGACUUUUCAUAUUUUUUCCAGUUUUUUAUGAUAUUCAGCAAGCUUAGAGGUAAUUAAAGUUUAAUAUCUAAUUAAUAAUUAAUGAGAUGAUGUAUAUAUUUUUUAUUUAGUGUAGGGGUAAAAUGGUAAUCUAACUUUACACUUUGGAACUUCCCACUUAUAAUAAUAUAUGAUAUAUAUAUAUAAAAAUUUAAUUAAUUUACCAAGUAUAUAAUUCAUCUUUAGUUUGUGCUAAUUAUAACAGAAGAAAAUCAAAAGUUCAACGAUUGCAAGCUUCAAUAGUAAGUAUUUAUUGAAGCAAUUACUUAGCAUUUAAUAUAAUCUUAUGAAUAUAAUUUAUCUGAAAUUUUUUAUUAAUUUGCACUGUAGAGAACCCUUGAAGCCAUAGGGAAGCACUGUUAUGUCUCACUAAUGCAUCCCCUUAAGGUUAUUGACAAGCUAUCUCAAGUGGAUGAAGCUCUGUCAAUAGCCAAUAUAAUGACAAAUCUCAAGCAACUCGAGACUCCCUAGAUGUUGGUUGGUAUAAAAAGAAAAUUGAGGUCGUUAAAAACUGCAGACAUCUUGAGCUACUAGAUGUAAGAGGUUGUUGGAAUGUGAACCUAAUGAAAAUUUCAUGAAGAAAUUCCAUCUUAUAGGUGGUUGAUGCAAUUCUCAUAGAUUGCUAUAAUAGGAAUAGCUCAGACAAUUGUUCUAACUAUUCAAGUUUUUUGUCUAUGUACAAUGGGAGGUGAGGCGGAUGACGACGAAUUUGAUCAGAUGUCCGAUGUGUAUUGGGGGGAUGAUCAAGAUAUGGAGGAUGUAAAAAUGUGGUGUAAUGAUGACUUAAAUGAUGUGGACUCUGGAUAUGAUUGGCUGCCAUCUCCUUGAGGUUUGCUUAUAAAAUUCUACUUAUUCAAUUUCCACAAGUUUUGAAAUACUUCUCUUCUCUAUGUGUCUUGUGUACCUUUUUCCUCUUUCUUUGUUCUCUUUUAUUACUUUCUUAACUGUAUGUAUUCAUAUAACAAUAUUUUCAUGCUAUCUACAUGUUUGCUACAUUUGAGUCGAGGGUCUUUCAAAAAUAGUCUUUCUUCCUCCACGAGGUAAUUGUAAGGCCUACAUACACUCUACCAUCCCCAUACCUCAUCAAUUGUGGGAUUCCAAUGAGUAUGCUGUUGUUUCUUAGCUUGUGGUUCUUUGAGGAGUUCAUGCUUUCAUUUGAAUUUGUCAUCUGGUUGUUUGUUUCUCCUUUUUAACUCUACUGCUGGUUUUUUAAACUAAAGUUAUUCUACUCCAUCUUGUGGUUUCCAGAUUUUCUAUUUUUGUUUUUGUUUGAGCUUCUUCUUAAUCUGCUUCGUCAGCUUUCUAAAUUCAUGUAUGAGCUAGUAAAAGAAACAAAGUCUAGCAGAAGAAAGUUAUGACGCCAUAUCUUUUCAAAGGAACAUCACCAGUAGCUUGAGUUAUGGAAAAGUGUCCCAUGACAGUUUUGUUGAGUUCAUGUGGUAGUUCUAGUUUAAUUAAUGCUUUGUUUUCCUAUGAUUUUUCAUUCUUUUAACUUUUUUUUUUGUGCAGGGAGAGGGAACAAUUUUUGAAUUGAUUAUUAAAAAUGUGAUUUGUAAAACUAGACUUUAUGCUUGAUUAUUAUCUAUGUGGUUUGCACAACAUUAGCCUGAUCUAAAACUCUAGUUAAUGAGAGGCAUAUAAACUGUGUUGUAAUUCUUUUAGUUACACCUUUUAUAUCUAUGGCUUGUCUAUUAACAUUUAUUCUUAUGUCUUGGGCAUUUUCUUACAUCUAGAUUUAGAUUCAUUUAUUUGAAAUAUAUGCAAUUUUGUUUGGCAGAAAGACGUGUUUAGUUAUAUAAAUAAUGUGGAUCUCUUAAAAUUCGGAAACAUACCCACCUUAUUUCCAUGAUUAUUUAUGCUUUGAAUUGAACCAAGUUAUAUUUUUUUUUUUCUGCAGUUUCUCAACACCUGAUUGUUCAAAAGAUUCUAAAAGAACCUGUCAUUGAAGAGAGUAUAUAGAGCUGAUAUUAGCGACUAAAUAUUUAUGAACAAGAGAGAUACAUUCAUAUUCUUUCAGUUAUUUAAAGAUGUCCUCUUCUAUACAUGUCAUGGAUCCUUCUUUUUCUACAAUUUUAAUGUUGUAGAAGUGAGAUUGUAUCUUUGAUAAUAAUGCUUUGUUGAGUAUCCGGACAAACAUGGGUAUCAGCCUAGUUCCACGCGUAUUUUGGAGGUGGAGUUCGGUUUGGAUUUCUUCCUAGUGAUGAGAAGAGUUUGUGCUGGUUUUGCACAUUCACACCAUCUGUUGUUCAUUGUAAGCCAGCUCCUACAUACUGUUUCUUUUGAAGAUUUACUUUUUGAAGGAUAUUUUUGUUGGCUAGAGAGCUUACCUCUAUGCAGGGGGAGCCUUGACGUAAUUGGUAAAGUUACUGUCAUGUGACCUAGAGGUCGCGGAUUCAAGCUGUGGAAACAGCCUCUUGCAAAAAUGCAGGGUAAGACUGCGUACAAUAGACCCCUAUGGUCCAAGCCUUCCCCGAACCCUAUGCAUAGCAGGAGCUUAGUGCACUGAGCUUCCCUGAUAGCAUACAUCUCAUAAACUAGUCAUGUUUAGUCGUUCAUUUUAAUUGGGAAAUUAUGCAGUUGAUGGAAAUGCAGAACAAGAUCCAAUGAAGUUGAAGCAAUUAGUGUUGAACAAGGCUAGUAAUGUGUCUAAAGAACUCUCCACCGUUAUAGACAGAACUACGCUCAACUGUAUAUCUAUCGCUCAGCUGAAAUUGAGGUUGCCAUGGAAUGUUCUGCUUGGGAGUAUUUUGAAAAACAACUUUUGCGUGGUAGGUGAUGCACUUCAUCCCAUGACUCCUGAUCUUGGUCAAGGUGGAUGUUCUGCUUUAGAGGACAGUGUUGUUAUCGCAAAGUGCCUCAGAGAAGCCUUGAUAAAACCGAUAACAGAACAAGAAGAUGAUGAAUCUACGAAGAUUAGAAAAGGACUCGAGAUGUAUGCUAAAGAGAGGAGAUGGAGAAGUUUUACAUUUAUCAGUGCUGCUUAUUUAUCUGGUUUCAUACAAGAGAGUGAUAACAAGAUAAUCAGUUUCUUAAGACAACAUUUUUUGGCUGGAGUCACUAUAUUAGUUACACUAAGAAUUGCUAACUUCGACUGCGGAAGAUUAACUGUUUCUUAGUAGCUCAAUUGGAUCCUUUGGAAGCUAUGAAUAUCCUUUAUGGACUUCGUUUAAUAUCUAUCUAGCAUAAUGUUCUGGUUUAGUUGUGUUUAAGAAUUGUAAGACUGAAUCGGAUCCUUAUUUUGCAAUAAUAAAAUACAAAUGGUCCUUUGAGAGAGAGAUAAAAGACACUUUUUUUUAUUGUUCCUUGAAUGUGUUAACUAGGUUGUUUCUUAUCAACCAAGGUAUAAUAUCCUCUGAACAAAACAACCUAGUGUCCUUCCACUAAUUGUGAGCUCUGUCCUCAUUUCCUGUGUUCACCAAUUACCAUGAUAGUUUGACAGCUUUACAGUUGUUCCCCAUUUGAUCAGAGAACAUACACAACACAUAGGACAUGGUCCCAUUGUUUGUUACGAUCAUCAAAACAAUAGAGUUACAAUAUAUAUCAUGUAUAAUAAGUAAUGUUGGAAUAAUCUCAUGGAUAUUAUGCUUUGAUUUUUUUGUGGUCUAUGUAAGAACCUUGUUUUUUUUUUCUUUUACUUCGUCUGAAUUUUCUCUUUGUUAUUUUUAGCAUUUGCUUCGACUACUGGUUUAGUUAUUUUCCAUCUCUUCAUGUUUGAACUGUAUCAUAUGUGUCCUUUUUUUCCCUUGUAGUCUUUGUGGAAAUUGGCUUAAAGACUUAGAAGUUGUUUAAACAUCUAUUUCUACUACAACUACAUGGAGUUUCUCUCAUUAACUUAAUGUGAAAAGUCUUGUGAAAAAUUAUAGAAUGUGACUCACAAGUGGGAAAAAUUCCACACGGUAUCAUUAAUGUUACAAACAUACUCUAAGUAAACACACGAGUUAAAUCAUGUCUUCAAUUAUUGUUCUUUUUAUUUUUCUCACUUGACUUGGUCAAGCAAUAAUAUCUCUCAUUGGAAAUUUGUUACAAGUUCUGCACCAAAUUUUUCUACAGUGUGUGUUGCGUAAUGGGACCAAUUCACAUUGUUUUGUGUAACACACACUGCAAAGAUGGUGGAUGACCUUGAAAUGAAAACAACAUUCAGAGAAAACAAAUAUGGAAUAAUUGGUACUAGCUACCAAGAUUUAAAGACUUGAUUGAGUCUUUCUGGAAAUUGACUUAACACUUGGGACAAUUUUUUUGCAACCACAAAUUAGUUUGUGGUAGAUCGGGGGCCAGUACCCCAUUUUAUUUGUCUGGAUGUUUUACUUCACAGUCUGAUAGACAAGUCAAUGACAACUAUAGCAUAUUCAGUAUAAUCUCAUAAGUGGGAUUGAGAGGUUGCUUCUGAUAGGCUCUCGACUCAAAAUAAAGCAUGGCCAACCAUUUUGAAAAAGGGAUUACGAAAAUUAGAGUAAUAACAACAAUAAAAUAAUAUGAAAAGAAGAGUAGUAUAACAUACAGAUGAAUGAACAAUAUGAAAACAAAAUAAAGCGGUAUUUGAAGCACAAGAUACACGUGUGAUACCCGGAAAAAUAAAACUACGAAUACAAUACACGAUAGACAAGUCAAUCUCCACAAAAUUCUAAUGGGAAAGUGAUAGAAAUUUUGAGUUCGAAUCAUGAAGUUAGUAUCCUAGACAUGUAUAAUACACAAUUGCAAAUAGUAUGGACAAGAGGGGGUUCCUUAGGUGGUAGCACCUUCCACCUCUUAGCUUAAUGUUAAUUAUAUAUACUACUUUAUUCAUGUUUUAGUUUGACUCGGUGAAGAAGAUUCUUGAAUUUUGAUUGAUUAUGGGAGAAGGCGUAGGAAAAAAACUCUAAAAAUUAUGUACUGAUAUUGGUAUAUCAUUUUCCAUCUAUAUUGUUAUGAUUAAAGUCCUAACAAGAAUGUGUAUGUUGUAUUUUUUUUCCUCUCUAUUUUUUUUAUUGUUUGUUUUUCUUUCUAUUAGACUACUUUAAUUCGAUUUUAUAUGAAUUUCUUAAUGUCGUAAAUAAGUAUUUUUAAUUGAAAUUUUGCUAACUAGUAACUAAAAUUUUAAAUUUACGUUACUAGCAUGGAAGGAAUUAAUUUUUUAACAAUAAAAUACAACCCACAUUUAAUGUUUCUUGUCACAGUACUUUUAAUUAUUAUUUUUUAUAGUUAUUGCAUUUUAUUACUCAUUAGAGUCAUAUUUUCACAAAAAUUACACAAAAGUGUAACUCAUAAACUAGUAUAUAUAUGUGGAUAAUGAUGAUUGAUUUGUAAGAACAGAACAUUCUGUUAUUUGUUGAAUACAAUUUUUUUUUUUAAAAAGAUGGGAAUUCCGUUUUUCUUUUAUUCACUUGUCUGUUUUUUGUUGGUAAUUAGUGAAAGCUUUUCUUCUUCUGUUGUGAUGAUGCAUCAUCUUUGCUCUCCCACUGAAGCUUUUGCUUUGCUUCACUUCAAACAAUCCUUUCAAAUCUCUGACCAACCAAGCUGUAGUUAUGAUACUGAUAUGCAAGAUGAGAGAUAUGUUGAUAUCCCCAAAACGAAGUCUUGGAAUGAGAGUAGGGAUUGCUGCAGUUGGGAUGGGGUCACUUGUGACUUGUUAACUGGUCAUGUUAUCGGAUUGGACCUUAGUUGCAGUUUGCUUUUGGGUACUAUUCAUCCCAAUAGCAGCCUCUUCCAGCUCCAUCAUCUCCGGACACUAAACCUUGCUUACAAUGACUUCUAUUCUUCUUCAAUCCCACAUAACAUUGGCCGAUUGACGAAUUUGAGGCAUCUCAACCUUUCUUAUUCUU
rnacentral:lncRNA from 1 species